GAUGAACGCUGGCGGCGUGCCUAAUACAUGCAAGUCGAGCGAACAGAUAAGGAGCUUGCUCCUUUGACGUUAGCGGCGGACGGGUGAGUAACACGUGGGUAACCUACCUAUAAGACUGGAAUAACUCCGGGAAACCGGGGCUAAUGCCGGAUAACAUUUAGAACCGCAUGGUUCUAAAGUGAAAGAUGGUUUUGCUAUCACUUAUAGAUGGACCCGCGCCGUAUUAGCUAGUUGGUAAGGUAACGGCUUACCAAGGCAACGAUACGUAGCCGACCUGAGAGGGUGGUCGGCCACACUGGAACUGAGACACGGUCCAGACUCCUACGGGAGGCAGCAGUAGGGAAUCUUCCGCAAUGGGCGAGAGCCUGACGGAGCAACGCCGCGUGAGUGAUGAAGGUCUUCGGAUCGUAAAACUCUGUUAUUAGGGAAGAACAAAUGUGUAAGUAACUGUGCACGUCUUGACGGUACCUAAUCAGAAAGCCACGGCUAACUACGUG
rnacentral:rRNA from 1 species